CCUCCGGCAACGCCCUCUCCCUCUCCUCGUCGCCGCCCUCUCCUCUCCCCGUCGCCGGCCUCUCCCUCUCCCCGUCGCCGGCCUCUUCCACCGCCCUUUUUCCUCACCACCCCGCCUCCACUCAUACCCCGUAAGUCAACAAAAUAUCGAUUCUUUUUGCGCCGGCGACGAGCUUCUAGGCGAAGGACAUGUGGAUGUGUAGCGGCGCCAGAGCUCGAUAUAGGCAACGAAGGCGUGGACGUGGAUCGGUGCCCGAGCGGCGGAUCUGGAGCGGCGCCCGAGCAACGGAGGGAGAUGGAGUUCCCUCCUGGCAUGGCGGCUCGAUCUGCAACGCCCGCAGCUGCGGUACGCCACCCUCGCUGCUGUCGCAGGGAGAUGCCGCUCUUCCCCUUCCCGGUCCGCCCUGAUGUGGUUUCCUCUCCGUGACCCGUCAUCGGAGGCACGGCCAGAGGCAUCCCCGCCGCGUGCAGCUGCUACUCCCGGACGCCGCCGCCGCCCUCCGCAAGGAGCAACUAUAACCUGAAGCUCUGCGGCCCGGCGUGCGCCGAGCGGCGCGCCGCGGGGGCACCGUCGCCGACCGGCCACACGACAUCGCUCUCGUCCAGCUAGAAGCAUGCGCUGUCGUGGCCUGCCUCCGGCUGCUUCAGCAGGCCAAGAAACUGGAACACACCCAUGCCCGGCGACCUCAGCAUCUCCAUCGAUGAUGAUAAUUUAAUCGAAAAGGGACGGCAUGCUGAGGUGUACAAAGGACAGCUUGCUGAUUGAUAGUUUGUGGCAGUGAAGAGGUUAACAAAAAUACUUAACCAAGCAUGCUGAGAUGGCGUCGACCUUGGCCUCCUCGUCGAUCUGACUCUGCAUUAAGAAAACUUGCUGGCAUCAAGUGUCCCCCUUCCUCCACCGGCAGCCUUCCAUCGAAUUCACAUCAGAAAACUUCAUUCAUUCACCCAGAAAAAAUAACUGACAUUGCCAACAUCUCACAAGAAAGAAGAGAGCAGAGUUGAAGUUGCGAGCCUGUUUACUUGCAGCUACACCUGUGUUCUUCUUCUUCUUCGCAGAAUCAAUCAGAUUCUCUUGAUUGGAGUGGAGAGGAGCAGAGACGAGAGGAGCAGCAGAAGUGGACAGCGCAACGGCUGACCUCGAGCUCUUGAUUGGAGUUGGGGGAGGCGGCCGGCGAAGGAUCUGUGGCCAACAGUGAAGGAUCCGAAGCUGUGGCAGAGCAGGCAGCCGGCGGGAAGGGCGGCCGGCGAGGGAGCUGCGGACCGCGGCGGGGAAGGGCGGCAGAUGAGGGAGCUGUGGACCGUGGCGGGGAAGGACGCCAGAGAUGCGGACGACGGAGGAGCCUGACGAAAGGGAGCAGCGACGGCGUAGAAGCCUGGCGGAGGGGAGGAGCGAUGGAGGAAGACGCCUCCCGAUUGAUUUCAAAUCGGGGGUAGUAUUGUACUUUCACACUGUUUCACCUGGUCAGAACGACGCCCCCAGCGACAAUUAUUUCGGAACGGAGGGAGUACACCCCAAUGCAGCAGAUGGACCCCCCCUCCCCGUGAUGGUUGGUUAGCCAAUACCAACAAAUGCAUUCCAAAGAUGGCAGUACAUCACACGAAGAACCAUGCUGAGGCAUCUUUCAACGUCGGAAGUUGCACAUCAAGUUCCCGCACCAAGGAGCGGGGUUGUGCACUGCCCGAGGACAACUCUCCUCAUAGGGCGUGUGAGUCCAAACAGGACAUACCACGUCACCCGCGCCACCAUGGGACAGGUGUAGGCCGGGACAUCGGCCUCAACGAUGCACGUUAUACCAUUGUUGCUCUCUGAGAUCUGAGUGGACCAUCGACGAUGUGCUUUUCCUACUUCUUUGAUCAGGUGGUCGCCCACUGAUAUGUCUUCAACUUAUCUAUAAUUUUUUAUUGUUCCAUGCCAUUAUAUUAUCUAUUUUGGAUGUUUUAUAUGCAUUAUUAUGUUAUUUUAUAUUAUUUUUGGGACUAACCUAUUAACCUAGAGCCCAG